UCUCAUAUUGUGGAGGACUACCAUUGAUUGUUAAAGUGUUGGGAGGCUUGUUAGCUGCCAAACUUACAGGUCGUGAGUGGAAAAGAGUUUCUGACAAUAUUAGAGUUCAAAUCGCAACAACACGGGAAUACAAAAUAUUGUCUUUGAGCUAUGAAGAUUUGCCAAUGCAUUUAAAGCAUUGCUUCCUUUACCUAGCAACUUAUCCUGAAGAUGAGGAGAUAUCUUUGCAACUAUUGUUCAGUUAUUGGGCUGCAGAAGGAAUUUACAACGGAUCAACCAUCCAAGAUAGUGGAGAAGGCUACCUAGAAGAGCUGGUGAGGAGAAAUAUGAUUAUUCCUGAAAAACACUAUUCGAGUUUGGGAUUGGAAUAUUGUCAAAUGCAUGACAUGAUGAGAGAAGUAUGUUUAUCUAAAGCCAAAGAAGAGAACUUCCUACAAAUUAUCAAAGUUCCUACUUCCACUCUACCAUCAAUGCUCAAUCUCCUAGUAGAUCUCGCAGACUCACUGUCCAUAGUGGUAAUGCCCUUCAUUUACUGGGACACAGAAACAACAAAAAAGUCAGAGUUUUUAUAUUUGGGGGACUUUGUGGAGAUUGGAAACAGUCAGCUUCAAGCUUCCAGAGUUUACCAUUGCUCAGGGUGUUAGAUCUUUCUAAUGUAAAGUUUAAAGGAGGGAAGUUGCCUUCUAGCAUUGGAGGGCUCAUUCACCUGAGAUUCUUGAGCUUAUUCCUGGCUAAGGUAUCUCAUCUACCUUCUACUAUGCGGAACUUAAAGCGUCUGCUCUAUUUGAACUUAUAUGUUGAUGGAAUUGAUCCGACUCAUGUGCCAAAUGUUUUGAAAGAGAUGCUAGAGUUGAGGUACCUUACCUUACCUUUGCAUAUGAAUGAUAAAACCAAGUUGGAAUUGGGUGAUCUACUGAACCUGGAGUACUUGAUUAAUUUCUCAACGCAACACAGUAGUGUGACAAACCUCCAUUGUAUGACCAAGCUCAGAAUUCUCGCUCUAUCCUUGGAUGAAAUGUUUACUUUACAAACAAUAUCGUCAUCUCUCCUUGAAAUGCAAAACCUCGAGACGCUUAGGUUCCGUCAUCUGGACAAUCCGUCAAGGAUUGAUUAUGUGGGAGAGUUCGUUCUGGAUUUUAUUAAUCUAAAAGAGUUAGAAUUGGGAGUACGUAUGUCAAAGAUUCCUGAUCCACAUCAAUUACCUCCCCACCUUGCACACAUAUCUCUAUUAUUUUGCUACAUGGAGGAGGAUCCGAUGCCAAUUCUAGAAAAAUUGAUUCAUUUGAAGGCAGUUGAAUUAUUAUUUGAAGCUUUCGUUGGGAGGAGAAUGGUGUGCUCAAAAGGCGGAUUUCCUCAAUUACUUGCUCUAGAAAUAUCUGACCAACUGGAGUUGGAAGAGUGGAUAGUAGAAGAAGGGUCGAUGCCAUGUCUUCGUGAUUUAACUAUAUGUGAAUGCAAAAAGUUGCAGGAACUUCCUGACGGAGUCAAGUUUAUAACAUCGUUAAAGGAACUGAAGAUUGAAAGAAUGAAGAAGGAGUGGAAGGAGAAAUUGGUUUCAGGUGGAGAAGAUUACUACAAAGUCCAACACAUUCCCGAUGUUCAAUUUAUCAACUGUGACAACGAAUAAGCAGUAGCGGGUAAAAUAUCCGAAUAUUGUCGGUUUUGUAUCCUAUUUUUGAUUCGUUUGCAGAAACUCUCAACUAUCUCCAAAAUAAAAUGCAGGAAAGAACAACAGGUUCGUGGAGAAAGGUUUUUUACGAAGCAUCUCAAAUCAAAUCAAAUUACGUUGCUUGUCUUGAUGGAGCUCUCACUUUCUAAGUGCAUCGUUAUGUUUUGGAUCAAGAUUUCAAGAACCAGAUAAUAGUAAAUGAAUAUUCACUUAUUGCUUUUGUUUUAGAUGUGUAUGCGUGGAACUUGCAGUUUGUGGGUUAACACAGUUAAGUUUUUGUGUUUACUAUAUGCGACAGAGUUUGAAACUAGAUUUUAGUUAUUACAGUUAAAUUGUUAUAAUUAUAUAAACAAUUUCUUUUUCACUUUCAGUGUAUUAUAGUUCCUUUAAUACCUCUAUUAUUAAAUACAUCGCACUUUCACUGUUAAACCUUAAGAUAUAUAUGCAUACUUCACGAACUAUAUCUAUAUGUAUGUAUAUCUUAAAGUUCACAGAUUUGGUUUGGCUCAAAAGCCUCAAAGAGAUAACCAUUCUACAUGUUUUUUUUAUAGCUUUUAUUCAAAUCAAAUAUCAAUCUAAGGAUGUAUAUAUUGUAACAUGAGUUUUUUGGUUGAAUAAAUUUUACAUUUCGUUUUAGAAAAAAAAAACAGUUUUACCACUAUCACUACCCUUAUUCCAAGUUUUCCACUUUCAUUAUUAAAUUUUAAGAUAUACACAUAUAGUUCAUUUAUAUUAUUUUAGAAUAUUAUAUAUGUUUUGUAUUUUAGGCAUUUGCUGAUUGAUUGUUAUAAAUGGUAGGUUUUGUCUCAUUUACAAUCAAAUAUACAACUACGUUAUUUUCAGAUUGAUCGUUAAAUAUAUAAUAGGCUUUACCUCUAUCGUAUCCCCCUAAAACCUGGUAAAGUAACUAUAAGUGAAUUGCAAUAAAGAUUAUAACAAACAUAAUUUUUUUAAUUUAACCAACCUACUAUGUAAUACUAAGUUUUACUAUUUAAAUUGAUAAAAAAAUUAAGAUUCACUAAGAUACCACCAAUAAUUAGAUAACCUCCACCGAAGAGUUGUUAACAUAAGUUUCUUAAUUUAAAGAAAAAAAAAUAUUAAUAAAAAUUAUCUGAGUUACUUAAAUAGUAGAAAAGCUAUAUUCAAAGUUGUUUAAACAAGAGAUUUAAGAAACUUUUGAAAGAGUUUUUUCACUAAUUAAGCAACCCAUCAAAUUAAAUAAUAAUAUUUGUAUAAUUUCAAUAAUAAAUUCCUGAUGUUAAACAACUAUGAAUGGAGGUGCUCAUAGCUAAAAUAGAUUAUUAGGUUAAAUGAUAUAAAAAAUAAAUAAAAAUUGCUAAAUUAGUGUAGAACAGGUUUUUUUAGUUAGGAGCUUUUAUAGAACCUAUAAAACUUGUCAAAAUAUGAUUGGGUAGCUAGAAAAGAUAAAGGUUGAUUUGGAGUCAACUUUUAGCUUAGAGUUGACUUGGAGUCGACCUGGAGUCAACUUUUAGCUUAGUAUUAAGUUAUUAACAAAAAAAGGAAAAAACAGACCAACAAAAAAAAAAGGGAAAAAAAAAACAAUUGUCGUCUCUCUCUCUGUUUACUGCAAUGGAGGACCGUUUCUCUACUAUUGCCAAUCUUCAUGGAGAUCACUAACAGGUACUUUCAAAUUUCAAAUUCCUUUACCAAAUUGGGUUUUUGAUUCGAAAUUAUAGCAAUAACACCUUAAAUUAGGGUUUCUCCAAGCGAGUUCUACGUUGAUUCGAUUCAAAAGCAGUAGCAUCUAUAACUAGGGUUGAUUGAUGAUGUUGUUAGAGUCAAUUAGUUUGGAAAUUCUGAAUCGAUUUCCAAGUUUGUAUAUAUGAAUCCGAUUUUGAUGAAUAAGUGGUUCAUGCCACAGUUUUUCUAAUAACCCAUUUUCAUUGGAAAAAUCACUUCACCGUCAUCGUUUUUUUCAUCUUAUGCGUUUCAGAAGUUGAAUCAUAAGCCCACAGCAGAGUUUGUAAGGGGAACAUACAAAGGUUUGAUGCAAGAAUAUUUUGGGUUUCCAUCCUUCAUUAUAUCAGUAACACAAUUCAACUCUCAAUAGCUAACUGGUAAGUGCUCUUUGCUUGGUGUUGAUCUGUCACAGGAGGCAAAGAUCUAUAAGAAAACCAUAAAUUUUUUAAGGAAGAAGUAGAGAGCUUGUCUUUGAGAGAAGUGAGAAAAUAUGAAUGUGAGAUGAAGGAUAUUCUCUAUUGGUGAUGAAUACUCGAAGAGAUAAUUCGUCACAAGUUCAAGAGAGAACUAUACAUGUCUCUACACACUACUCAAGGUGAGUUUUCUAAGGGGUUUUCGUAGUGCGAUCUUUGUCUAGUAUCUGAGAGUAGUUUGGCUUACUUGGGAACUAGUAAAGGGUCUUCUUAGAGAAUCACAUGGCAAAGAAGGGAAGAUGUGUUGGUUUGACAUGGAGUAGAGAAUGGCAUGUGAGGAGGUUUUUACUUAAAAAUAAAAGAAUUUUCAGAAUAGAUAUUAUUUAUUCUAAAGAAAACCUUGAUGGGGUUCUAGUUCUACCAUUGGAGAAUGAAAAAAAAUCAAAAUCUCUUAAUAAGGUUCUUAAGUUAAAAUGAUGGAAAAAUUAUAACAAAUUAUUUAGCUUAUUACUACACCUACGAUCUUGAAUGCUGGGUAAGUAAUGAUGCAACCAAUGGCACCAAAUAAUAGAAACUACAACGAAUCCUUCCCGUCUUGAUCAUGCGACGUGGUCGUCUUGUCUUAGUCUUGUGAUAAGCAUGUUGCUCUUUCCUUUGGUUUUUGCAUGCGUAAUAUGUACCAUUCAGUAAGUGGUUAUGGUGAUGAUAUAUAUAUAUUGCUUACUAAUGUUUUGAUACUUAAAGCAUUAUUAGUGGACAUAGAAUUCAUAAAUUAUGUGUGUUUUUGCUCUCCAAGGAUAAAUUUGUUACUUUGUAUAUAUUAUAUAUAUAAGCUCGUGGCGAAAAUUUGGUCUUAUACUCUUUAUGAUUAGUUUUCCAACCGUGCAAGGUUUUGUGUGACUCAUUGAAAUUUUAGUCUCUCAAGUUAACAUGCUAUUAUAUGACAUAUGUUAUGCAGAGUUCAGGCAUUAAUGUGAACUGAGCUGGAGAAAUCAACAAGUAAUGAUACCAACGCUUCAAGAACCAAGCAACUUCUUCUUCGAAUAGUUGUGAUAAUAUUCUUUUUUUCUUUAUAUGUGAAAUAUUUUGUACAGUACUAUUAUUGUGGAGAACCCUCAUCCAAUAGAUGGGUAGCUAGAUUAGAUAAGGUUGAUUUGGAAUCUACUUUUAGCUUUUAAAGUUUUGAUAAAACUGAUUGAUUUAUUCAUUUGUAGGAAAUAAUCAAUAAUUUUCUGAGAGUUUGUACCCUUGGUGUUCUUGUACUAGUUAUGGCUGAAGCUAUUGCUGAAGGAGUUGUGUCGUUCGGAGUUCAGAAGCUUUGGGAUCUUCUAAGUCAAGAAUCUGAGCGAUUGCAAGGAAUUGAUGAGCAAGUUGAUGGACUAAAACGUCAGGUGGGAAUGUUACAAUCGUUGUUGAAAGAUGCAGAUACCAAGAAACAUGGAAGUGAAAGGGUGAGAAGCUCCUUGGAAGAUAUCCAAGACUUGGUUUAUGAUGCUGAGGAUAUCAUUGAAUCCUUUGUUCUGAAAGAAAAUAUUAGAGGAAAGGAAAAAGGGAUCAAAAAGCAUGUGAAAAAACUUGCUUGCUUCUUACCGGAUCGCCACAAAGCUGCUUCAGAUAUCGAAGGCAUCACUAAGAGGAUCUCUGAUGUAAUUGGGCAUUUGAAGAGUUAUGGAAUUCUAGAAAUCAUUAAUGGUGGCCCUUCACUGUCUUUUCAAGACAGACAAAGGAAGCAGAGUGAGAUCCAGCUGACUUUUCCUAAGAGUUCUGAAAGCGAUCUUGUCGGAGUGGAGGAGAGUGUUGAAGAAUUGGUUGGUCAUUUGGUGGAGAAUGAUGACAUUCAUGUGGUUUCUAUAUCUGGAAUGGGCGGUAUUGGUAAAACCACUCUGGCGAGACAAGUUUUUCAUCAUGACUUAGUCCGACGUCAUUUUGAUGGAUUCGCAUGGGUCUGUGUUUCACAACAGUUUACACAGAAGCAUGUUUGGCAGAAAAUCUUGCAACAACUUCAGCCACACGAUGGUGAGAUUUUACAGAUGGACGAAAAUGCACUCCAGAGUAAACUCUAUCAAUUAUUGGAAACUGCUAGAUAUUUGGUUGUCGUAGAUGAUGUAUGGAAAGAAGAAGAUUGGGACCGAAUAAAAGAGGUGUUUCCACGGAAAAGAGGUAAUUCUUAAAACUAAUAUACAUCAUAAAUGCGUUUUAUUUCCUAACAUGAAAAAUACAAUUACUUUGCAGGUUGGAAGAUGCUACUUACUUCUCGGAAUGAUGUAGGGUUACAUUUUACGACCAAUCGCUAAUGAUCGCUGUAAUUUUCAACGACUGAAAACUGCGGUUGCUGGUCGCUGAUCCAGCAACAAGCAAACGAAUAACUUUUGGUUGCUUUCGUUGGCUACAGGCAAGCAAACGAACACGGCCUUAACCUCAAGAUAUACAUAUAUAAUUAUUAUAUUUGUUGUCAACAACAUACACACAUAAAGUUAAUUUAUCAUAUUUUAGAAUAAAUUAUUACAGUGCGACGAACGUGGUGGUCUGUCUUGUCUUAAGAUAAGUUGACAUUUAUAAAUAUAGAAUGAGUAAAUUGGUGUAUUUACUCUCGAAUGAUAAAACUGUUACAGUGUAAAUAUUAUAUAUAUAUAUGCUCGUAUAAUCCUGGUAAAAAUUAGUCUUCUUAUUAGUUUCCAGCAGUGCAAGGUUUUGUGUGCCUCUAAUUGAAAUUUUAGUCUCUCAAGUUUUCUAAUGCUAUAUAUGACCUAUGUUAUGCAGAGUUGAGGCAUUAAUGUGAAUGAGCUGGAGAAUUCAAUAAGUAAUGAUACGACUGAAUCAACGGUUUAAUGACCCAAGCAACUUCUUCGAAAUGGUCCGAUUGUUUUUUUUUUUUAUGUUGUCUUUGGAGUCAACUUUUAGCAUAGAGUUUUGAUAAAACUGAUUGCUUUCUUCAUCGUUGGUGAUUUUCAACGAGCAUUUAUGGCUGAAGGAGUUGUUUCGUUUGGAGUUGAGAAGCUUUGGGAUCUCCUGAAUCAAGAAUCUGAGCGACUGCAGGGGAUUGAUGAGCAAGUUGAUGGUUUAAAGCUGCAGCUGAGAAGGUUACGGUCGUUGUUGAAAGAUGCAGAUGCCAAGAAACAUGCAAGUGAAAGGGUAAGAAGCUUCUUAGAUGAUGUCCAAGACUUGGUUUAUGAUGCUGAGGAUAUCAUUGAAUCCUUUGUUCUGAAAGAAAAUAUUAGAGGAAAAGAAAAAGGGAUCAAGAAGCAUGUGAAAAAACUUGCUUGCUUCUUACCGGAUCGCCACAAAGUUGCUUCAGAUAUCGAAUGCAUCAUCGAGAGGAUCUCUAAGGUGAUUGAGGAUAUGCAGAGUUUUGGGAUUCAACAAAUCAUUGAUCAUGGUGGUCGUUCGCUGACUUUUCAGGAAAAACAAAGGGCACAGAAAGAGAUACGACAUACUUUCCCUGACAGUCCUGAAAGCGAUCUUAUCGGGGUGGAGGAGAGUGUUAAAGAAUUGGUUGGUCAUUUGGUGGAGGAUGAUAGAUUUCAAGUGGUUUCAAUAUCUGGAAUGGGCGGUAUUGGUAAAACCACUUUGGCUAGACAAGUUUUUCAUCAUGACUUAGUACGACGUCAUUUUGAUGGAUUCGCAUGGGUCUGUGUUUCACAACAGUUCACACAAAAGCAUGUUUGGCAGAUGAUCUUGCAACAACUUCAGCCACACGAUGGUGAAAUUUUACAGAUGGACGAAAAUGUACUCCAGAGUAAGCUCUAUCAAUUAUUGGAAACUGCUAGAUAUUUGGUUGUCGUAGAUGAUGUAUGGAAAGAAGAAGAUUGGGACCGAAUAAAAGAGGUGUUUCCACGGAAAAGAGGUGAACUCCAUGAAACACUCUUUCUUUUUAAUUAAAGAGAUUCUUGAAAGUAAUAUAUAACAUAAAUGCGUUUUAAUUUCUAACAUGAAAAUACAAUUAUUUUGCAGGUUGGAAGAUGCUACUUACUUCUCGGAAUGAAGGUGUUGGGUUACAUGUUGAUCUAACAUGUUUACCUUUUAGAGCAAGAAUCCUUAAACCCAAAGAAAGUUGGAAGCUCUUUGAGAGUAUCGUCUCUAGGAGAGAUGAAACAGGUACACUUUCUAAUAUAAAAUUAAAAUUGAGAAUAUAGUUAGUUUUGUCUUGAAAUGUAGUUACCUUGUGAUGUUGUGCAGAAUUACCAUGGUUUGAUGAAGAAAUGAAAGCCAUGGGAAAGGAAAUGGUCUCAUAUUGUGGAGGACUACCAUUGAUUAUUAAAGUGUUGGGAGGCUUGUUAGCUGGCAAACAUACAGUUCGUGAAUGGAAAAGAGUUUCUGACAAUAUUGGAGUUCAAAUCGCAACAACACGGGAGUACAGAAUAUUGUCUUUGAGCUAUGAAGAUUUGCCAAUGCAUUUAAAGCAUUGCUUCCUUUACCUAGCAAUUUUUCCAGAAGAUGAGAAGAUAGAUUUGCAGAUAUUGUUCAAUUUAUGGGCUGCAGAAGGAAUUUACAAUGGAUCAACCAUCCAAGAUAGUGGAGAAGGAUACCUAGAAGAGCUAGUGAGGAGAAAUAUGGUUAUUCCUGGAAAAAGCUAUUCUAGUUAUGAAUAUUGUCAAAUGCAUGAUAUGAUGAGAGAAGUAUGUUUAUCUAA
rnacentral:lncRNA from 1 species